rnacentral:misc_RNA from 1 species
AAGUCGUAACAAGGUUUCCGUAGGUGAACCUGCGGAAGGAUCAUUAUUGAACAAACCGGUGUCGGCUGAGCUGGCCUCUUCGGAGGCAUGUGCACGGUCCACCAUUGUUUCAUCCUUCUCUUCCACCUGUGCACUUCUGUGGGUCCACUCCAGCGCACCUGGUGCGCUGGACUCUGGUACCUACGUUUUUACUACCCACACCAUUGAAUGUUCAGAACGCAUGAAUGCGGCAUUCUUGCCCAUAAAACUUAAUACAACUUUCAACAACGGAUCUCUUGGCUCUC